rnacentral:misc_RNA from 1 species
GAUGAAGAACGCAGCGAAAUGCGAUAAGUAAUGUGAAUUGCAGAAUUCAGUGAAUCAUCGAAUCUUUGAACGCACAUUGCGCCCGCCAGUAUUCUGGCGGGCAUGCCUGUUCGAGCGUCAUUUCAACCAUCAAGCCCCUAGGGCGUGGUGUUGGGGAUCGGCCAAAGCCCGCGAGGGACGGCCGGCCCCUAAAUCUAGUGGCGGACCCGUCGUGGCCUCCUCUGCGAAGUAGUGAUAUUCCGCAUCGGAGAGCGAUGAGCCCCUGCCGUUAAACCCCCAACUUUCCAAGGUUGACCUCAGAUCAGGUAGGAAUACCCGCUGAACUUAAGCAUAUCAAUAAGCGGAGGA